rnacentral:rRNA from 1 species
CCUACGGGUGGCAGCAGUGAGGAAUAUUGGUCAAUGGACGCGAGUCUGAACCAGCCAUGCAGCGUGCAGGAUGACUGCCCUAUGGGUUGUAAACUUCUUUUAUAUGGGAAUAAAAUGUUCCACGUGUGGGGGGUUGUAUGUACCAUAUGAAUAAGGAUCGGCUAACUCCGUGCCAGCAGCCGCGGUAAUACGGAGGAUCCGAGCGUUAUCCGGAUUUAUUGGGUUUAAAGGGAGCGUAGGUGGUUUGUUAAGUCAGUUGUGAAAUUUUGCGGCUCAACCGUAAAAUUGCCGUUGAUACUGGCAGUCUUGAGUACAGUAGAGGUAGGCGGAAUGCAUGGUGUAGCGGUGAAAUGCUUAGAGAUCACAAAGAACUCCGAUUGCGAAGGCAGCUCACUGAACUGUAACUGACACUGAGGCUCGAAAGUGUGGGUAUCGAACAGGAUUAGAUACCCGUGUAGUC